CGUUGUCUGGCGCCCAGCGUAACGGCCACGGGAUGGGAGGGAACGAGGGCCCAGCCCCAGAGGGCCCAUUCCGGGCGGCCCCCAAACUCCUCAUCCUCAAAGCCUCCGACAUGCAGCUACCGCGGACGGGUCGCUUUUAAGGGUCUGUCCCCACCCCCUAUCCCUGGGUCUUGUUCCCAGGACCUGCACCCUGCAGGGCUGGACUUCGCGCGCAGAAGGCGGCGCCCGGGGCAGGCAAAGGCGCAGACUCGCCAGGCCUGGCGGCGGCGCAGACGCAAAGCGCCAAUCCCAACCCCGGCCCCUCUGGCUCCCGAAGGUGCGGCAUCCUCCGCCUCGCGACCCCGAGGCCUCCCUGUUCCCAUGGUCCUCUGGCUCCUGCGGGGCCACAGGUCCUCACCUGAAGGCUUGAAGACUCCUGAAAAGCUGUCCGCGGGGCUGAGACCCAGGCUCGCUCUGGACCAGAAAAUUGAAGCCAUCAGAAGAGAACUUCUACAGACUCCUACCACCACAUCACUUCACCUACCUGCACCCACAUCCGUAUACAUGGUCUUCCUGUUGAUAUCAUACAUGAUUAUUAUGGGCUGAAUUGUACCCCUCCAAAAUUCAUAUGUUGUAGUCCUAACCCCCAGUAUCUCAUAAUGUAACAUAAUUACCUCUUAAGUCAAAGCGAGGUCAUUAAGAUGGGUCCUAACCCAAUACUACUGGUGCCUUUGUAAGAAGAGAUAAGGACACAGAUAACACAGACUGAGGGCUGACCAUGUGAAGAUACAGGGAGAUGAUGGCCAUCUGCAAGCAAAGGAGAGAAGCCUCAGAAGACCAACCCUGUGAGACAAUAAAUGUGUGUUGUUUAAGCCACCCAAUGUGUAGUAUUUUGUUAUAGCAAUCUUAGCAAGUUAAUAUAAUGAUAUUUCCAGACUGCCCUCUAAAGCCAGCCCCUCUCCUUUCCCACUAGAUAUCUUCUCCUAUCAACUGGAUGAUAUCACUACCUUUUUUCUCUCCCUUAUCUCCAGCAUUAUCAAUGUUGUGUUGUCUAUUGGGUCAUUUCAGUCAAUCAGGAUUAAAUUAUACUGUUAUUUCUCAUCUUUAUUAUAUAACCCACACAAAUAUAUAUAUAAUCUUGGCUCCACUUACCCACCUGCCAUCACGCAAUUCCCUUGCUCCCCUUUGAUGCAAAUCUCUUUUACAGACACAUAUGAAAUAUGUUUCUAUACAUAAUAUAAGACAUCACUUGAACCAGUGUUCCUGUCUAAGACUAUACUCCCCUAGGCCUUCUACCUAUAUCAGUUUGGGGCCAAGAGGGAGCCCCAGAUGACCAUACUUUUCUAUUUCCCACUAGCUCUGCCUGUUCUCUUCCUUACUCACUCUGCCCCAGCUGUAGCCUCCCUGCUGUUCCUCAAACAAGCCAUACUCAUUAUUGUCUUAGAGCCUUUGCAAUGUCUGUUUCAUCUAUCAGGAAAGUUCUUCCCCCAGGUAAUGAGUUUGACUACUCUCUCAUCCCCUUGUAAUAGUGGUCUCUAUUCAGUGUUCCCAAUUUUUCCCCUCUCAUUCUCUCUUGGGCACAUUCUAAUCAGGGGUCCACCUCCACAAAUCUGUUGAAAUUGCUCCUGUCAUGGUCAUGAUCAUGGCCAUGAAUGACUUCUUGUUGUUCAAUCCAAUGAUCAAUUCUUAGUCCUCACCUUACGUAUCAGCAGCAUUGGGCACUGCUAACGAGUCACUCCUCUUUGGUUCACUUUCUUCCUGUGGCUCCCAGUUCAACACACUCUCUGAUCUCACUGGGUGCUCCUUCUCAGUUUCCUUUACUGGCUUCUCCUCUUCUUCCAAACCUCUUAAAAUGAGAAUGCCGCAGGGCUCUGUCCCUGUUCUUUGCAUUUCUGUGUGCACUCCCUUGGUGAUCUCUUCCAGUCCAAUAGCUAAUAUAAAAUAUUUCUAGGUUAACUUCCAAAUUCAUGUUUGCAGGCCAGAUCUUCAUCUUAAACUCCUGUCUGAUACAUACAACUGCCUACUCAGCACCUCCACUCAAUGUCUAAUGGACAUUUCAAACUCAAAAUGUCAUAGGCAGAACUAAUCUGCUCUAUAAAACCUAUUGUUCCUAUUGCCUUCCUCACUUCAAUUGAUGGCAACUCCAUCUGUUCAUCUGCUUGGAGCCAAAAACCUUGACACCACCUUCAAUUUCUUUCUUUCUCUCCCACUACACAUCCAAUCCAUCAGAAAAUCAUUUUUGCUCCACUUCAAAAUGCAUCCAAAAUCCAACCACUUCUCACCAUCUCCAUUGGUACAUGUAAGGUCAAAUCCACCAUCAUAUCUCUUCUGGAUAACUGCAACAGCUUUCUAACAUGCCUCUCUGCCUCCACGCUCGUUCCCCUAUGGUGGCACAUUCUCAAUGCAAAAAUUAAAGUGAUAAU
rnacentral:lncRNA from 1 species